GACGAACGCUGGCGGCGUGCUUAACACAUGCAAGUCUAACGGAGUGGCGAACGGGUGAGUAACAUGUGGGUGAUCUGCCUUGCACUUCGGGAUAAGCUUGGGAAACUGGGUCUAAUACCCGAUAGUGCAAGAUGAGUUCGCGGCCUAUCAGCUCGUUGGUGGGGUAAUGGCCUACCAAGGCGUCGACGGGUAGCCGGCCUUUGAGGGUGUACGGGCACAUUGGGACUGAGGUAGGGAGCAGACUGCAACGGGAGGCAGCAGUGGGGAAUAUUGCACAAUGGGCGGGAGCGUGAGGCAGCGACGCCGCGUGGGGGAUGAAGGCCUUGGGGUUGUAAACUCCUUAAGACAGGGACGCGGUACCUGUAUAAGAAGCACCGGCUAACUACGUGCCAGCAGCCGCGGUAAUUC
rnacentral:rRNA from 1 species